ensembl:lncRNA
ACUGAACUCAGUACUUGAGGUGCUGUCUCAGUAGUGCCAAGUGCAGAGUAAUUAAUUAAUUACCUAAGUAGGUAAUUCUACUUAACUCUGUGACUCUUUGAAUGAUCUCCAACUAAACUGGUUGCGUUGUGAAAAGGUAAGCCUUCUGGAGAACCAAAGAGCUCUCAAAGACAGAGUUCAUGCCUACUUGGUGCCUUAGGGAGAACACUAACUUUUUCUUCAUUUGAUCAGGUUAAACUGCAUGCAGAACAGUCUGUCAGCAGGUCUUCAGAACUUUUCCAAGGGCUGUGCGGACAAGGAAGAUCAGGUGACAAAUUACAAAAACAAUCAAACAAAAACAUGACAUCUGCUGAAGAUCCUGCUGCAAGACAAGCAAUGCCAAAAAAAGAACUCAGCCUUGAGCCAGUGCCCCCAGCAGAUUUACAUGUGCAUCCUGGAGCACAUUCUGGCUACUGAAUUGGUCCCGUUCAAAUUAAAGCUGCUGUCAGGAAGAUGGAGUGUCAGAAAAAUAUGACCUCUUUCAUAAAAUUCUUCAUGUGUAUUUUGGAAAAAGUUUCAUUAGCUGUCAAACUUUCCCUUGUGCAUUUUCAUUUCUAAGCUCCACAUCUAAGCAGUGAGUGGUGGCUCACAGCUUUCUGGUUUGUAGAAAGUGUACUGUUGUACAAAGUUCUCUUGGUUUUAUUUUAGUCUGAUCUCCAAAAGAGGACUUUCUAUACUGUCUAUAUCUGCUUCUGACAAUUACUGUUUUACUGAAAUAUAUUUUAAAGUAGUUGUCUGAUUCCAUCAUCAUUUGACAGAAAGGAAAAAAAAAAUCAUUUCUAUAGAACAAUUGAAAAUACAGAGGAGACCCUGCUAGUGAUCUGGCUGCAGGAUAAAACUUUGCUAUUCCUGCCACCCAUGGAGCUACUCCCCUGCCCUCACCCUCCUCCUGUUAGUUUGUCCCUUCUGUUAACCCCCUUUAAAUGUCUUGCUAUUGAAAAAGGAAGUCCAUUAUAUUUUUCUCAUGAAUGGUUGCUGUAACUGCUAAAAAUCAGUGCUGGAUUUCAUAUAAGUAGAGCUGCAGAGGGUACACAAUUUUUCUGAGAAUUUGACUUUUUUUUAAUUAGACUGUUUUCAGCUGCUAUGAACUUAAACAUUUUUGGCUAUUUGUUUUUUAAAGCUGCUUUAUUCCUUUUUCCACAUGCUUAUUUUCUAUUGGAGAAAAAGAUUACAUAAAUAGAAGAGGUAAAAAGAAUCAGAAAGAAAAACUGGAAUUAAUGUCUUACUUUCUAUAAUUUUCACUGGAAUGUUCCCAAAGAAAAUAAAUGUUCCAGACAUUUUCCA